rnacentral:rRNA from 1 species
UCCAGACUCCUACGGGAGGCAGCAGUGGGGAAUAUUGGGCAAUGGGCGCAAGCCUGACCCAGCAACGCCGCGUGAAGGAAGAAGGCUUUCGGGUUGUAAACUUCUUUUCUCAGGGACGAAGAAAGUGACGGUACCUGAGGAAUAAGCCACGGCUAACUACGUGCCAGCAGCCGCGGUAAUACGGAGGAUCCGAGCGUUAUCCGGAUUUAUUGGGUUUAAAGGGUGCGUAGGCGGGAUGCCAAGUCAGCGGUAAAAAUGCGGUGCUCAACGCCGUCGAGCCGUUGAAACUGGCGUUCUUGAGUGGGCGAGAAGUAUGCGGAAUGCGUGGUGUAGCGGUGAAAUGCAUAGAUAUCACGCAGAACUCCGAUUGCGAAGGCAGCAUACCGGCGCCCUACUGACGCUGAGGCACGAAAGCGUGGGUAUCGAACAGGAUUAGAUACCCGCGUACG